GUGGCAGUAGCUCAGUGGUAGAGCCCCCGCUCUUUACGCGGGAAGACCUGGGUUCGAUUCUCGGCUGCUUACC
rfam:Toxocara canis scaffold971, whole genome shotgun sequence.